GACGAACGCUGGCGGCGUGCCUAAUACAUGCAAGUCGAACGAACAGACCAGGAGCUUGCUCCUCUGACGUUAGCGGCGGGCGGGUGAGUAACAUGUGUAUAACCUACCUAUAAGACUGGGAUAACUACGGGAAACCGGAUCUAAUACCGGAUGAUAUAUUGAACCGCGGUGGUCAAUAGUAAAAUUCGGUGUUUGUGGCACUUAUAGAUGGAUCCGCGCCUCAUUAGUGAGUUGGGACGGUAAAUGCUUACCAAGGCAACGAGGCGUAACCGACCGGAGAGGGUGAGCGGCGACACUGGAAGUGAGACACGGUCCAGAGUCUGAGGGGAGGCAGCGGUAGGGACUCUUCCGCGAUGGGCGAAAGCUUGAAGGAGCAGCGCCGGGUGAGUGCUGAAGGUCUUCGGACCGGAAAACUGUGUUAUUAUGGAAGAUCAAAUGUGCAAGUAACGAUGCAUGUAUUGACGGUACCUAAACAGAAAGCCCCGGCUAACUCCGUG
rnacentral:rRNA from 1 species